AUGGAUCCCUCCGGGGGGACUUUGCCAGUGUUUCUAAGCCCAGCGCACCACAGCCAAGGACAGAAGAGGGGGCAUCCCAGAAGAGAGCAGUGUUCAGGGAGGAAGAGGGAAUGUCCUGGAAGGAGGAGGAGGAGGAGGAGGAAGGAAUGGAGGCCCAGGAGGAGGAGGAGGAGGAGGACCAUGGGAAGGUGUUCCAGGGGAGGGGAAGAGGAGGAGGAAAUGGUGUGCGGGGAGGAGGAAGGCAUGGCAUCCCCAUCCGGACGAGGAAGAGGAGGGAAGGGUGUCCGUGGAGAAGGAAGGGGAAGAGGAGGGAUUGGUGUGCGGGGAGGAGAAAAGGGCGACCCUGGGAGGGAGGAAGAGAAGAGGACGGUGUGCGGGGAGGAGGGAAUGGUGUCCCCGGGAGGAGGAGGGAGGGGAGAGGAGGAGGAGAUGGCAUCACGAGGACGGGUUGGGAAGGGCGUCCCAGAGAGGAAGGAGAGAAAGAGGAAAGGACGGUGUCCCAGGGAGAAAGCGGGCGGGGCGGGGAGGCGGGGGAGGACGCAGACCGGGAGGCCGGAGGAAGUCCAGGGGAGGAGGGAGAGGGAAGGGCGUCCCAGGGAGGAAGAAGAGAAAGAGAGGACGGUGUCCCAGGAAGAAAGCAGGGGGACGGGGAGUCCCGGGGUGGAAGGGCAUGUCCCGGGGAGAAGGAGGGAAAACGCCCGGCGGGGCGUGGAGGUUUGUGGCGGGGGGGAAACGGGCCUGCCCUCCGAACCCCGGCUGGGCCGCAGCCCCUUGCCGGCAUUGCGACGACCGCGACACGUACCGCGAAACCAGGCCGCUCGCUUCGCUCCUCCCCUUCCGGCGGAGAACCCGCCCCUGUCACGUGCCGCAGAUCACCACGGUCAUUGGCUCGCCCUGGCACAGGCAGCGCGGGGACGAAGGUCAGCGCCGCGACGACCGCACCUACAGCGCAAGCGGACCAGUCACCUUAGCCCGCCCCUUCCGGCGAAGGCCCGCCCAACCCGCCUCCUGUCACGUGCCCCCGAGCUCGGCAGCCAAUGGCUCUCCCUGACCCUGGAGGCGCGAGCGCCAGGGAGGGGCCGAGGCCUGCGCGGUGACGCAGGCGCGCUCCCGGCAGGUCGGGACUGCUUAGGAGAGAGAGAAAAAGGAAGCGGGCGGGCGCAGCAGGUCCUUAAAGGGGCCGUGUGCCCGGCUGCCAGGGCGACGCGGAGCGGGCCCGAGGGGUGCGAGCUCGGUCUCCAUGCCGCGGUAGCCUAG
rnacentral:lncRNA from 1 species